rnacentral:rRNA from 1 species
AUGAACGCUGGCGGCGUGCCUCAUACAUGCAAGUCGAGCGAACAGACGAGGAGCCUGCUCCUCUGACGUUAGCGGCGGACGGGUGAGUAACACGUGGAUAACCUACCUAUAAGACUGGGAUAACUUCGGGAAACCGGAGCUAAUACCGGAUAAUAUAUUGAACCGCAUGGUUCAAUAGUGAAAGACGGUUUUGCUGUCACUUAUAGAUGGAUCCGCGCCGCAUUAGCUAGUUGGUAAGGUAACGGCUUACCAAGGCAACGAUGCGUAGCCGACCUGAGAGGGUGAUCGGCCACACUGGAACUGAGACACGGUCCAGACUCCUACGGGAGGCAGCAGUAGGGAAUCUUCCGCAAUGGGCGAAAGCUUGACGGAGCAACGCCGCGUGAGUGAUGAAGGUCUUCGGAUCGUAAAACUCUGUUAUUAGGGAAGAACAAAUGUGUAAGUAACUAUGCACGUCUUGACGGUACCUAAUCAGAAAGCCACGGCUAACUACGUG